rnacentral:rRNA from 1 species
AUCAAUAAGCGGAGGAAAAGCAACUAACCAGGAUUCCCCCAGUAACGGCGAGCGAAGCGGGAACAGCUCGAGCAGGCAAUCUCUGGUGUCGAUCGCCAGCGAAUUGUGGCCGGCAGAGGCGGGUGCACCUGACGCGACUCCGUCGAAGUUGACCUGGAAAGGCACGUCGAAGAGGGUGAUAACCCCGUGCGUGGCGGAGUCGCCGAAGGCCGCUACCGUCUUCGGAGAGUCGGGUUGUUUGGGAGUGCAGCCCAAAGUGGGUGGUAAACUCCAUCUAAAGCCAAAUAGCGGCACGAGACCGAUAGCGAACAAGUACCAUGAGGGAAAGGUGAAAAGCACUUUGGAAAGAGAGUUAAAGAGGCCGCGAAACCGUU